rnacentral:rRNA from 1 species
UACGGAGGGGGCAAGCGUUGUUCGGAAUCAUUGGGCGUAAAGGGCGCGUAGGCGGCUUUGUAAGUCGGGGGUGAAAUCCCGGAGCUUAACUCCGGAACUGCCUUCGAUACUGCAGCGCUUGAGUCCGGGAGAGGUGAGUGGAAUUCCCAGUGUAGCGGUGAAAUGCGUAGAUAUUGGGAGGAACACCAGUGGCGAAGGCGGCUCACUGGACCGGUACUGACGCUGAGGCGCGAAAGCGUGGGGAGCAAACGGG